rnacentral:rRNA from 1 species
UACGUAGGGUGCAAGCGUUAAUCGGAAUUACUGGGCGUAAAGCGUGCGCAGGCGGUUUUGUAAGUCUGUCGUGAAAUCCCCGGGCUCAACCUGGGAAUUGCGAUGGAGACUGCAAGGCUAGAAUCUGGCAGAGGGGGUAGAAUUCCACGUGUGAGCAGUGAAAUGCGUAGAGAUGUGGAGGAACACCGAUGGCGAAGGCAGCCCCUGGGUCAAGAUUGACGCUCAUGCACGAAAGCGUGGGGAGCAACAGGAUUAG